CCCAUGAAAUGGAAGCUUUAGGGUUUUCUUGUAAUGCCAACAUUCAUUCUUUCUUAUCAGCAACAUCCUGAGUGAACUUGACAAAGGCUGUAGAAUAAACUGAGUAACAAUGGAAACAAAUUGGCUGUCUUUCCACAUCUAGCAGAUAUAACAGAUGCUCCAGUGACACUGAUUCAGGUGUCAUUAAGCCACAUCUCUGAUGGUCGCCUUCUAGAAGCAUCUGAUACAGAGCCAUAACAAGCCUCCAUGUCAGUGAGUGGUGGGUGACGAUGCCAGAGAAUUUCAAGUUUGCUUUUAUAACUACAUCUAAAAUCAUUCACAAUGACAAUAGAAUCAAUCCAGUUUUAGGUUAAAUAAGACAAAAUCUUAAGGGCGAGACAUCCACUGAUCAAGUCAAUAAUGGCCCACUCUUUCCAAAGGAAAGAGCAGGCACUUAGGCAUUAUUGUUAUUUGUUUUUUACCUAUUUUCCUCUUUAGAUGUGAAAACGUGCUCCUCCAUUGAAAAUUCGUUUGUCCAAACUAACAUUUUCUUAAAAAGGAAAUCAUUUAUUUUGUUUCAUUAUCUUUGUAUUUGGAGGUUUAAUUUGGGAACCUUCUAACAUGAGGCUAACAUAAGUGUUUGAAUAAACUAUAAAUGUGAGACUUCUAAUUUUCUAAAGCUCGCAUGACAGUCCUAUAAGGACACCCAAAUGCCUGAAGCAUAAGCCCUUAGACAAAGGAAAGCACCUGAGGCAAGUAGAAAUGAAAUUCAAUAUUGUUAAAUGCAUUAUGUGCUAUAAAGAGUAAGGCCUUACUUGUUCCAGCCAAAAUUAGUUUAAACAUUAACAGAGCAGUUCAUUCUCUUCUGGUUAUACUGAACAUCAAAUAGCCUAAACUUUCUAUUUCUCUUUAAUGUUCUCCUUACUGGAGAAACAAAAGUGGUAGACUAAUAUAAUAAUUAUAUGUAAUUAUUUUUGCAUGAGAACUUUUGAAAUGGCCCGGCAAUGUGUGUAGGCUCCAGUUGCACAAUCUGAGAGGGUGAAAAACCUCAGGUCUUCUCCUAGUGCACUGUUGUGGUCCAGCAGCUGGAAAAAGACAAAUGUACAGUCUUCUAUAAUACCCAUUAUCAAGGGCA
rnacentral:lncRNA from 1 species